rnacentral:rRNA from 1 species
GUGGGGAAUAUUGGACAAUGGGCGAAAGCCUGAUCCAGCCAUGCCGCGUGUGUGAAGAAGGUCUUCGGAUUGUAAAGCACUUUAAGUUGGGAGGAAGGGCAGUAAGUUAAUACCUUGCUGUUUUGACGUUACCGACAGAAUAAGCACCGGCUAACUUCGUGCCAGCAGCCGCGGUAAUACGAAGGGUGCAAGCGUUAAUCGGAAUUACUGGGCGUAAAGCGCGCGUAGGUGGUUUUGUAAGUUGAAGGUGAAAUCCCCGGGCUCAACCUGGGAACUGCCUCCAAAACUGCAUGACUAGAGUACGGUAGAGGGUAGUGGAAUUUCCUGUGUAGCGGUGAAAUGCGUAGAUAUAGGAAGGAACACCAGUGGCGAAGGCGACUACCUGGACUGAUACUGACACUGAGGUGCGAAAGCGUGGGGAGCAAACAGGAUUAGAUACCCCUGUAGUCC